UAGGGAAUAUUGCGCAAUGGGGGAAACCCUGACGCAGCGACGCCGCGUGAGUGAUGAAGGCCUUAGGGUCGUAAAGCUCUGUUGUACGGGAAGAAAAAAAUGACGGUACCGUAUAAGAAAGGAUCGGCUAACUUCGUGCCAGCAGCCGCGGUAAUACGAGGGAUCCUAGCGUUGUUCGGAAUCAUUGGGCGUAAAGCGUGUGUAGGCGGCCAUGUAAGUCAGUUGUGAAAGCCCCGGGCUCAACCCGGGAAGUGCUUCUGAUACUGCGUGGCUUGAAUGUUGGAGAGGUGAGUGGAAUUCCAGGUGUAGUGGUGAAAUACGUAGAUAUCUGGAGGAACACCGGUGGCGAAGGCGGCUCACUGGCCAUACAUUGACGCUGAGACACGAAAGCGUGGGGAUCAAACA
rnacentral:rRNA from 1 species